ensembl:lncRNA
GAAAUUGAAAUCCACAUUUAUUGAUGAGAACUAUAUACAUGAAGGUUAAAACACUUAGUGAAAUUUUGAAUUCACAGGUUACUUCCAGCAUACAAAGAGUACCCAGUAAUUUUACACAUGAAAUGUUACAGUAAUCAGUCAACAUUGUAAGAAAGUGUAGAAAGCUAAAGGUGAAAAUGAAAGACCUCAUCUACCCAAAAUGUGCUUUGCCAACAAGGCAUUUCCUAGUACCAUUUAUAAGAAACAAUCCAAAAAUUAGUUGAACUUUUUAUCUUUUACAUUAGUCUUUAAAUACAAUGUGCUAUAGAUGCUCUAUACAACAUGGCUUCAGCUAAGUAAGGAUUGUGAGUGUGAGGAAAACAAUUAUUCUCAUCUUUCAUUCUGGAUAUACAAGACUCUUCAAGGAUAAUCUUACCUAUAAGGGUAAUUUUUUUCAGUAAGUUUUUCAUCUUGAAUUUGAAGAAGCCACAUUUUCAAGGAAAAAUAUGCCCAUCCACCAUAUCCGCUUAUUCCACUCAUCCAAAGAAGCCAUUGCAAAUUAAUGAGCUUUAUGCCCUCAUGAUCCUGGGCUUUGUGCCCUUGAGAAAAAAAGAGGGGCACUCAGUGUUGCUAUUUCUUCUCUGUCCUUGGGGAAGGAGCUCUAGACAUUGCAUUUAGUGCUAAUUAGACAGAAUGUGUGUUUCUGGAGGCAAGUGUAUAAUUUCAUUCGUUAAUCUCAUCUUCAGUCACUUCCAAACAUACACACAGAGCACGUGGGUAGAGGAGGUCAUACUCCCUUCACAUAUAUAGGAUCUGUGCUUCAGCAGUUGCUACCUGCAACCCCCAAAGUUGUACACUGUUCCUGUGCUUCUAGUACUCAAUCUUUCUAUGACAACUGUGCCAUUUGCUGCCAGAACUGUGCUUCUAUGGGGUUUCACCUACAGCUAGUCAGUAAAUAUUUUUCCCAUUCUAACUCAAGAGGCUAAGUGGGACAAGGCUCUUCAGAACUUUCAGGUCACAUACAUUAGGAUGAAUAUUUGGCAACCAGAGAGGCUGAUCCUUCCCUAAAGACAUGAUGGUAACAUGCACAAGAGAAAACUAAUCCUUUGUCUCUCUGAGCUCCAUCCACCAAACAAAGGACUGUAGGUGAAUGUCCUCACUCUAUACCUACCUAAGCCUAGAUCACGGAAAGCUCCACAGUUAUAUUCAUCAAGUAUUAUAUAGACAACAAAUGCCCUUUCACUAAGAACCAGGACACUCAUCCAACCCAUCCCUCCUCUGAAUUGUGUAUUUACAAAGGUGCUGGACACAUACAGACAUUCAAGCAAUCAUGGGUACAAUGGUUUCAUAGAUAAGUUAUUCACUGAUACAUAUCCCCAAAUCACAUUAAGAAAGAGUAGAAAUGAUUCACUGCUAGGUAUCUAAGAAGAAAAAGAAGGGUUUACAAAACACCAAUCAACAUGCCUAUUGUGUCUAGAUGAACAGCGAAAAGUAACAUUUAAAUUAAAUUACAAUACAUCUAUACACCAUUUCACAGAAAUUACACAGAGAUACCUACAUUAUAGCUACACAAAGUGCAUAGGCACUGUUCUUCAUGCAUGGACCAAGCAUCAGUGAGUAAACACAAGAACUUCAUGCUUUGACAGCUAGCUGUACUUGAAAACAGAUGCAAUCCUAUCCAAUUGAGGGCACAUCUAAUCUGUUUGCUUAAUGAGGAGCAGGUUCAAAUACAUCUAGUACACUCUCUCUAUAACUGACUACUGCUUAAAACAUGGUAAAAAUACUAGUCCUACCACCAUCUCAGAAACUGUGUUUGGCGGAGGAAAGAUACCUCGUCUUUUCAGUGACUACUGAUUUAUCUGUUAGGAAGAUUAUAUAGUUUGUUAUUCACCUGAGGACAAAAACUACCCGGGCUUCUUAAACAAUUUCACUGUGACUCUAAGCUCCCACCUCCAGUCCCCAGUGAUACAUACAGCAUUGCUUCAUAACCAGUAUGAACUUUUUUAUUUAAAAAAUAAUGUGCUCAAUUCAUUUAAUAGUGUGACACUUAUUGUCAUUUUGCUUAGCAAGAAUUAACUGCAAUAAAUCUGUCCUGAUUUCCCUCGCAGCACUCAUUCUUAGUCUUUGCUACUCAAAAUUUUUCUAAGCCAAUUUUCACAUAAACAUUUAGAAAGGCAUGAGAGAUUGUGAUGUAGAAAUGAUUGCACUAUUAUCAUUUUGCUUUUGAUGAUCUUAGAGAAAAGCAAAAACUUAGAAUGAUCAGCUGGAAAAACAAGGCCUGGUGUCAAAAAUAAAAAUGAGCACCAUUCUGUGAGUUAGAAAGAUUGUUCAAACAUACAUCUUAACCACUUGAUUUAAGCAAUUCUUUGUUCUGAAUGGUGAUAUUCACUGGAUCACUGAGGACUAAGUUCUUAAAUUUUUUGAACGUGGCUAAAUGCUCAGAAAACAACUGAUAGCUCUAGGUUGUCAUAGAAACUUUUUGUGCU